AGGCGCUCUCCCCGCUCUGCUGUUGCUGACAGACGCAGGCAACAUGAAGUGCGGCUCCGGCUCCCUCCCUCCGGUUUCCACCACCUCCUCAUGGGCCGUGGCUAGGGGGGCAUGUCACCUGUGCGCCUGAUAGGAGAGGGCGCCGAUCCCCCCUAACGCUCCCCUCCCUAUGCAGUAGCCGUCGGCAUCGAGAUGAAACUGAACAAAAACUACAUCUCCCAGCAGCCCUUGCUGCCGGGAGCUGUAGUUUACUUUCAGUUUCAUCUUGCAGUGAUAAGCUGAACAGGAUUGAGGGGGCAGAGGUAGGGGACAAUUUACCCCAGCCUUUCACCACCCCCCUCUCCCCCCCACUGCACUCUAAACUAAGAAGUUACCCGACGUCCGAAAAGGGGCGGGGCUAGAUGGCACUGUACUACACAGUGCCUUGCCACUACCAGUUGCCAGCAGCAUGGGAGAAUGGAGGGGAUGUGAGCAGCAGCAUGGCCAAAACAGAAGUCCUCAAAUAAGAUACGAUGAGAAUAUCCCUGCCGCCGGAUGCUGACGGUUUCCAGAAUUCCUGUAUAGCGUAACUGCAUGAGCACCCUCUCCCGAGAGAACCUCAUUGCCUCUUGAUCAUCAUUUGGCUUAAUGCAGCGGACAAAGUGAGGCUGCCCAACCACCAUUUUGGAUAAUAGGUCCAUGAAUUAUUUUCAGCCUCAGUGUAGGAUCAGUUCCUGAAAGUUAUGUUCAGCCUGGAGAAGGUAACCGCUUCAUCCAGCUUUACGCAAGACAUUGUGGCAGAAACGGAGUGCAAUUGCGCCGAGUCCCGGAUGCGGCUCCCUUAUAUGGAAUUCAAAACCUGCAAAAUCUGAUGCUGAAAACAAUAUUGUCAAAAUUGACUGGAAAUGAAUGUUAUUGAUGUUAAUAAUACUGUAGGAACUAAAACUGGCCAAAAUUCUGUGAUUUUUGCUGUUUUUAUGAUUUUUUCUAACAAAACAAAAAAAUCAAAAUCCAAAACUCACAAGCGCGGUUCUGGCUAAACCAAAACAGAUCCAAAACAUGAAGGCGAUACAGAUCCAAAACUCAAGAUUUCGGCCGGCGCACAUUUUUAUGUUUUAUACUUAACAUAAAUGUAGCCGCAAAAGGUCCUGAUUUAGAUUCGAGCAUAUAUAGUGUUCCUUGAACCUUUAGCUUGCAAUCUCAUUUGAGAAGGGCCAACUUUACCUUCUGUGUCUUGUCAUUGUAUGCACUAGAUUUGUAUCAUGAUCCCCUCACUGCAGGGCUUGAUUAAGGGGCACAUGGGGUUUGGGCUGAAAAUGUUAAAGGGACUAUACUGAGAAGAGGAGGAGCUGUGACCAGUGCUUGUAGGUGUGGCCAGAUACACCAGGGUAUGUACAUUCCCUAUACCACCAGCCCCAAUGUCUCCCUAAAUAAAAUAAAAAAAAUUACAUAAUUUUGUAACGUAAACUAGAAAUAUAAUUUUAAAAUUUAUGAUGAUGGGCUUAUUUAUAUGUGGAGGCCUGGAACUAUGGGUCUGGGACUCCAGGUCGACAACAAAAAGGUCGACACACCUUA